rnacentral:rRNA from 1 species
AGCAGCCGCGGUAAUUCCAGCUCCAAUAGCGUAUAUUAAAGUUGUUGCAGUUAAAAAGCUCGUAGUUGAAUUUCGGGGUUAGUAGGUUGGUCGUGCCACUGGUACGUACUGGUCUCACUGAUUCCUCCUUCCUGAUGAACUGUAAUGCCAUUAAUUUGGUGUUGCAGGGAAACUGGACUGUUACUUUGAAAAAAUUUAGAGUGUUUAAAGCAAGCUAACGCUUGAAUACAUUAGCAUGGAAUAAUGAAAUAGGACGUUCGAUCCUAUUUUGUUGGUUUCUAGGAUUGACGUAAUGAUUAAUAGGGAUAGUUGGGGGCAUUAGUAUUCAAUUGUCAGAGGUGAAAUUCUUGGAUUUAUUGAAGACUAACUACUGCGAAAGCAUUUGCCAAGGAUGUUUUCAUUAAUCAAGAACGAAAGUUAGGGGAUCGAAGACGAUCAGAUACCGUCGUAGUCUUAACCAUAAACUAUGCCGACUAGGGAUCGGAUGAUGUUAAUUUUUUUAAUGACUCGUUUGGCACCU